UACGUAGGGUGCAAGCGUUGUCCGGAAUUAUUGGGCGUAAAGAGCUCGUAGGCGGUUUGUCGCGUCGGCUGUGAAAGCCCGGAGCUCAACUCCGGGUCUGCAGUCGAUACGGGCAGACUUGAGUGUUGCAGGGGAGACUGGAAUUCCUGGUGUAGCGGUGAAAUGCGCAGAUAUCAGGAGGAACACCGGUGGCGAAAGGCGGGUCUCUGGGCCGUAACUAACGCUGAGGAGCGAAAGCGUGGGGAGCGAACAGG
rnacentral:rRNA from 1 species